UGAAAUCCCCAAGGGAAGGGAAAAGGUGAAAGGAGGAGAGCGCAUAGAUGCGAGAAGGAAUUACACAACAAACACAUUUGUAUGUUAUGUGACCGCUAUGAAAGUGCAUUGUGUUUUAGUGUGAUCAGUGGUGUAUUCAUUCCGCCGAUAAUGUUUAAAAACGUUUCUUAAAUGGUAGCUAACGGAACGAAACGGGGAUAAACAUGCCGGCAUUUGUCCAAAAGAAACUCACGUUUGCAACUGUUGGACUAACGAGUACACCCUAGAUACGCUUGGCGCACAACCGUGAGUCGAGGAAAUUUCUGGUUGCGACAACCACUCAUAUCGCCGUCUGCAACCAAGAAGUAACCAAGAAUUGCACUCGCCAACCAAUCCGAGACACCAGUGCAACCAAGAAGUAACCAAUAAUUAACCAAUGAGGUUAUAGCUAUGGCAGGACCUUUAAACUCUAGAAGAGGACCAUGGAAAAGUACAUUUCCUAUCAGGUAAUUUUGUUCGGGAGUUAUCUUUCUUUUCUGAAGUAACGUUAGCUAUGGCGGGAACUUUAAACGCUAGAAGAGGACCAUGGAAAGAUAUAUUUCCUCUCAGCAGACAUGGAGCCGGGUUCAGAAAACUGCCAAAUGGAAGCCAUGUCUUAACGGACAGUAAGGAUUCCAGGAUUUACAGGACAAAAACUACAAAAAGCGUGUGGAGCAAGGCUGUGUCUCCAGACAAAGUGGUGGAAUCAGCCAGGAGGGCUGUACUGCUCAGAGGUGGCAACCCAACAAGCAGGGCACCUUUGCUGGGUCAGCAUGAGAUGCAGUUUGGCCUUUAUAAGGAGCAGUCUUUCAAGUGGGUGGUUGAAAAUGUGCUGGGCUGGGUAUUUGGUGGCAUCGAUGCAGAAAGAAUCUGCCUCUCAGCCAGCGAGGAGUGAUUUCAAAAACCAUGCUGCUAAUAAGAUGGCUUUCAAGGAAUACAUGGAGCUCUUCCCUGAGGGCCGGGAGGCUAUCAGGAUUAAGUCCACCACCCAGCCAUCCGCCACCACCCAGCCAUUCAAAGACCAGAUGACCACUGGUUACCAGAGGUCCUCAACAUCCUCACUCAGGUCAUUGCUGGUUGGAAAAUUACGCCCCUCCCAGAAUCUCCACAGCACAAUAAGGAAGCUCAUGUCUCCUCGGAAGGUUCAGCCUAUUCUACUUUUCAGCCCUUCCAGCCUCUGAGCCUGAUGAUGGUGAGCUCCUUAUGGCAGCAGAGCAGCUUGAGUCACAGGAGUCAGACGUGCCGCGACCAAUGGAGUUACAAGUAUCAAGUUAUUACAUAUAGUACUGACUGCUCAGCCUCUUUAAGGCUCAUUCUACGUAUUUGUGUGGUGUAUUUAUAGUGAUGACUUACAUUUUAAAUGAUGUACCAGGCCUACACAGUAUGUCUCAUGUGAUAUGAGGACCUGUCCUUGGGGAAUUUAUCAUCAAAACAUUAUUUAUUGUGUUGGGAUGUUGUUGUCUUUUGAUUUCAGGGAGCGACGUAGUAUGCCUUCCCAAGGAUUGGCAACGCACUUUGCCUGAUGUGGACCAUAAGUGGGUGUCCAAGGCAUUGUUCAGGUGGUCGGGCAAUGGGAUUCCAGAGAUGGACUUUGACAGGGUUGACAAAAUGUGGUGGGACCCCCCUCCACCACCCUUCAUCUGCAGCUCAGCACCGGUGAUGGAGAGGUACUUUGCCCAUCCUCUGCUGCUCUGGAUGCCCAGGAAGGUCUGGCAGGUGAAGCUGUAUUGCCCACAUUCUGACUGUGAGAGGGGGGAGUUGACCUCAUCAGGACUCCACCAGAAGAUCAGGCAGGUUGUGGAUGUGGACGGAUCUUACUAUCUGGCAGCAGAAUAACUUUAAUGUCCCAAGUGCAGUAGGAAGGUCAUCAGUUGGAACCACAACAUCCUUUCCCAGCUGGAAAUAAGCCACAGCAUCCAGUUUCCCUGCAUUUUGACAGCUAAACUCAUCUGUGACAUCAAGGUAGUUCAUCUGAUGAGACAGAGGUCUGGGGAACAGCAGCAGCCAUAUACAAAAGAAGGUGGAGGAACAAUGCAGUCCUGGCUGCAGAGGACUAUCCCUUACCUGACUGACUGCAAGCCCCCCCUCCCCUCCUCCCCCUCCCGACAUGACAUCUGUGCCCAAGUACCGCUGGCUAAUGCAGGUAUACGCCCAGGAGGUCCUGCACCGACUGGAUGAGGUCAAGGCCAGCAUUACCUCCCAGUUUGGCACGGUCCUCAAGAUCGACUCAACCAAGAAGGUGGUAAAGAAGCUGGCAAGCCACAGUGCCAAAACUGCUGUGUGGGUCACUAAUGUGGGAAAUGAGCAUGGACAAGCCCUCAUGUCCGUGCUCACAGCCAGUGAGGGCAAAAGGACUGGGCCCUAUGGUCGAUGGCCUCAUUAAAAUGUAUGCGGAUGCUGGAGUCACAACACCUUCCGUCCUGUAUGUGGACAGGGACUGUUGCGGAGCAAGCCACAUUCAGAAGAUGUUCGCUGCCUGGCCACAGCUGAAGAUUAAGCUGGACAUGUGGCACUUCAUGAGGCGCAUGGCAGUUGGUUACAACACCGACUCCCACCAGCUGUAUGCAACAUUCAUGAAUCGUCUCAGCCAGUGCAUUUUCCAGUACGACCAGUAUGACCUAAAAGCACUGAAGGAUGCAAAACGAAAAGAGCUGGAGGCAAAGCUCAUGGGUCCAUUAGAUGCUGAUGUCAUGCGUAACAUCACUUGGAGUGAGCUGGCCCUGCACUGCCGAAGAACCACACGUGGCACAGAGGAGACCCAAGCUCUGAUCACUGAGCUCAUCAAUGGCUUUGAUGGUGAGAAGGGGCGUGACUCCUUGGGUGUGCCUCUGAUUAACUCCUGCAGGAUGGAGGACACAGAUCAAGCAUGUGGCCUGCCUGCAAGACCCAGAGGGUGCCCAGUUGUAUAUCCAGACUGGCAUCAGCAUCAAGGGAGGACUUCCCCUGCCCACAUACAGAUGUGCCAGAAGUUCCACAUCACUAGAAUGCUUCACCUGAACUGAUUCCUCCCAGGUACCCUAGCCAGUGAUACCUUUUAUCAGAUGUACCUGGUUGAUGGAUUGGCACGGUGGAGUCAGGACCAUGCUGUUGCAGCUACAAGUGACAGGAAGGAGCCACACUCCUACUGUGUUAUCCUUCGUCAUGCUGCCAACACCCUCGGGGAGGAGAUGCUUGGAAAGAUUAUGGUUCCUUACACUGUUCCACGCAAAUACACUGGAAAUAUGUUUGGGGUACCUCUUCAAUCAGACUGGUUUGGUGCUGCAGGAUUACGAGGCUGCCAUUGAGGAACUGGAGACAGGUGAUCCUGAUGUCCAAGGGGAGGAUGAUGAGGGCUUUGUGGAGCUUGUGGAAUUUCAGGACCUGACAGUUCCAGUGCUAGAAGCAGCCCUGCCUCUUGGCACCUUUCGUCCUAUUCCCACCCCCUCUACCAGCAUCCAGUCCACAGCUGCAUCAGUCAGUCCCCUAUCUUCCACUCCUGUACGUGCUACUCCACCACUUGGGCCUCUGUCCUCCACACCUGUGCUCGCCAGUCCAUCAGUCAGUCCCGUCACUGUCUGUCGCCUUGGCUGUGUUUGUAAAUUCACUCUGGAAUGCCAGAGUCUGCUCAGAGUGCGCUCUUGGGCGUUCGUAAAUCCAGAGCGUUGUCAGAUUGUCCGUUUGUAAAAUUCAGAGUGUUUCGCUCCCGGAGCAUUUAGAACACACACUGGACGCUCUAGCCAAAGAGUAGGUUUGAUCCGAGCUAGCGUUCUGACCUCACAACAGCAGUCAAGCACCCAAGCUAACUGACUGAAGUUGGCUAGCUUACUAAUGAGAGAACACCUCACUCUGCCCAUUUUAUUCACCCUAGCAGAGCUGGUUAGGCUGCUUUCAUGUUAUCUAGUGCAUUGACUGUAACUGUGCGGCUGGCAACAAUUUACUGACACCCAUCAUAUUCAACAGGUGUUGCGUGUUAUUAAAUGAAUCAGUUGCCCCUUGAUUACUCACAUUUUUCUCUUGACCUGUGCAUCUAUACUGAACAAAAAUCUAACGCAACAUGCAAUAAUUUAAAAGAUUUUACUGAGUUACAGUUCAUAUAAGGAAAUCAGUCAAUUAAAAUAAAUUCAUUAGGCCAUAAUCUAUGGAUUUCACAUGACUGAGAAUACCGAUAUGCCUCUGUUGGUCACAGAUACCUAAAAAAAAGAUAAGGGCGUGGAUAAAAAAAACCCAGUCAGUAUCUGGUGUGACCACCCUUUGCCUCAUGCAGCAAGACACAUCUCCUUCGUAUAAAGUUGAUCAGGCUGUUGAUUGUGGAAAUGUUGUCCCACUCCUCUUCACUGGUGUGUCCAAACUUUUGACUGGUACUGUAUAUAUUUUAGUUCUGUAUACAACUUUCAUUCAUAGGCUAGGUCGUAGCACCCUCAUGAAGGGUAUAUGGAAAAUUAUAGUAUCAUGUAGUAGCCUAAACCUAUCGAUGUUACAUUGAACUGGGUGAAUGGAAUAUGAAUGACAGUCAUCCAAUAUGCUGUAAUAGAAGUAAGGCCAAGCUCAUCAAAAACCAAAUUGUCCUCCCUCAUCUUAAACAUCACUGACCGCCACUGAUACCGUAUAUUGACAAAAUUCAAUAAGCUCAUACACUUCUGAUCUUGAUUCCCUCCAAUGACUGUUUUAUUCAGUUACUGCUUACCCCAAGAUCUCCACUACCACACCGAAGACCACUGUGGCCUGUGAACCCAGCAUCUUCUCUCUCUCUCUCUCUCUCUCUGUCUCUCUGUCUCUCUCUCUCUGUCUGUCAAUGGGAUGGCCUCAGAGACAUAAUUGCUCUAUGCAAAAGAGAAGCCAAUCUCCAUUCCAUUAGAGGCUGUACAAUACAGUGUUGCGGUGAAUCAAAGUUGAUUUGUUAUUCAGCCAUUCUUAUACAGGUAUAUUCAUUUCAUUUUCCUCACAAUGACAGAACUAGAGAAGAAAGGGUGCUAGUAUUUGCAUAGGCAUUAUGGUGAAAGACAAAGAGAGACUGUUAUGUUAUGACAUUUGUGACAUUGGUGUUAUUAUUGCAUGAAUCAAGGAGAGUGCAAUUACUUUAUGUAAGCAUUGUGCAAAUGUCAGACCUGAUGCAAGUCAUUCAAUGGAGCAGAAUGACAAAGUGGAGUACAUCAGUAUAAAACACACACUCCAGUGGGUUUCUUAUAACACUCUAUUUAGUGGCCGUAUCUGAAUCAAUCUCCUACCUUUCGAACCGACCACUCAGUGGCAUGGUUUGCUGCAUAAAGGCAGGUCCGGUGAAUAACAAAACAGAGUUUAACCUUGAAGACUGAAAUUCUGGGGUGGCAUACUGAACAUUGAAAUUACUAUUAGGCUCAAUGAAGAAUGUGACUGUUCACUGGUAACAAACCUGAAACAAACAUUUACUUGUUGUCUGAAUGUCUCUUACUAUUCAGCGGGGAAACCUUUCUAUUGAUGAGAAUGUCAUGCUAGUCCAUUUAGAAUGAUGAGGACUUUGAGACGGUCAUCAGCUACUAUAAUAUUCCGUCCAGGUUCCUCAGAGGGGUUGAGUUAUCAAUAAACCAACCAAGAUCUA